rnacentral:rRNA from 1 species
GAUGAACGCUGGCGGCGUGCCUAAUACAUGCAAGUCGAGCGAACGGACGAGAAGCUUGCUUCUCUGAUGUUAGCGGCGGACGGGUGAGUAACACGUGGAUAACCUACCUAUAAGACUGGGAUAACUUCGGGAAACCGGAGCUAAUACCGGAUAAUAUUUUGAACCGCAUGGUUCAAAAGUGAAAGACGGUCUUGCUGUCACUUAUAGAUGGAUCCGCGCUGCAUUAGCUAGUUGGUAAGGUAACGGCUUGCCAAGGCAACGAUGCAUAGCCGACCUGAGAGGGUGAUCGGCCACACUGGAACUGAGACACGGUCCAGACUCCUACGGGAGGCAGCAGUAGGGAAUCUUCCGCAAUGGGCGAAAGCCUGACGGAGCAACGCCGCGUGAGUGAUGAAGGUCUUCGGAUCGUAAAACUCUGUUAUUAGGGAAGAACAUAUGUGUAAGUAACUGUGCACAUCUUGACGGUACCUAAUCAGAAAGCCACGGCUAACUACGUGCCAGCAGCCGCGGUAAUACGUAGGUGGCAAGCGUUAUCCGGAAUUAUUGGGCGUAAAGCGCGCGUAGGCGGUUUUUUAAGUCUGAUGUGAAAGCCCACGGCUCAACCGUGGAGGGUCAUUGGAAACUGGAAAACUUGAGUGCAGAAGAGGAAAGUGGAAUCCCAUGUGUAGCGGUGAAAUGCGCAGAGAUAUGGAGGAACACCAGUGGCGAAGGCGACUUUCUGGUCUGUAACUGACGCUGAUGUGCGAAAGCGUGGGGAUCAAACAGGAUUAGAUACCCUGGUAGUCCACGCCGUAAACGAUGAGUGCUAAGUGUUAGGGGGUUUCCGCCCCUUAGUGCUGCAGCUAACGCAUUAAGCACUCCGCCUGGGGAGUACGACCGCAAGGUUGAAACUCAAAGGAAUUGACGGGGACCCGCACAAGCGGUGGAGCAUGUGGUUUAAUUCGAAGCAACGCGAAGAACCUUACCAAAUCUUGACAUCCUUUGACAACUCUAGAGAUAGAGCCUUCCCCUUCGGGGGACAAAGUGACAGGUGGUGCAUGGUUGUCGUCAGCUCGUGUCGUGAGAUGUUGGGUUAAGUCCCGCAACGAGCGCAACCCUUAAGCUUAGUUGCCAUCAUUAAGUUGGGCACUCUAAGUUGACUGCCGGUGACAAACCGGAGGAAGGUGGGGAUGACGUCAAAUCAUCAUGCCCCUUAUGAUUUGGGCUACACACGUGCUACAAUGGACAAUACAAAGGGCAGCGAAACCGCGAGGUCAAGCAAAUCCCAUAAAGUUGUUCUCAGUUCGGAUUGUAGUCUGCAACUCGACUACAUGAAGCUGGAAUCGCUAGUAAUCGUAGAUCAGCAUGCUACGGUGAAUACGUUCCCGGGUCU